UUGACGGGUAACGGAGAAUUAGGGUUCGAUUCCGGAGAGGGAGCCCGAGAAACGGCUACCACAUCUAAGGAAGGGCAGCAGGCGCGCAAUUUUUUCAUCCUGACACAGGGAGGUAGUGACAAGAAAUAACGGGGGGGUUCUCUUUGACAAUAUGCAUCUGGAAUGAUUUGCAUGUAAAUAUCGCUUGGACUAUCAAUUGGAGGGCAAGUCUGGUGCUCGCAGCCGCGGUAAUUCCAGCUCCAUUAGUGUAUAUUAAAGUUGUUGCGGUUAAAAAGCUCGUAGUUGGAUUUCUGCUGGGUAUCGCGUGG
rnacentral:rRNA from 1 species